UGUUGAGGCAAAAUUAGAUUUUCAGGCUUGUCUGUGGAAGAAGAAAGAGUCAGGACAUUGACUGUUUGUCAAAUAACAGGCUUUAAUACAAAGCUUUGGAC